rnacentral:rRNA from 1 species
GAUGAACGCUGGCGGCGUGCCUAAUACAUGCAAGUCGAACGAAACUUCUUUAUCACCGAGUGCUUGCACUCACCGAUAAAGAGUUGAGUGGCGAACGGGUGAGUAACACGUGGGCAACCUGCCCAAACGAGGGGGAUAACACUUGGAAACAGGUUCUAAUACCGCAUAACCAUAGUUACCGCAUGGUAACUAUGUAAAAGGUGGCUAUACUACCGCUUUUGGAUGGGCCCGCGGCGCAUUAGCUAGUUGGUAGGGUAAAGGCUUACCAAGGCAAUGAUGCGUAGCCGAAUUGAGAGGUUGAUCGGCCACAUUGGGACUGAGACACGGCCCAAACUCCUACGGGAGGCAGCAGUAGGGAAUCUUCCACAAUGGGCGAAAGCCUGAUGGAGCAACGCCGCGUGGGUGAAGAAGGUCUUCGGAUCGUAAAACCCUGUUGUUAGAGAAGAAAGUGCGUGAGAGUAACUGUUCACGUUUCGACGGUAUCUAACCAGAAAGCCACGGCUAACUACGUG